rnacentral:rRNA from 1 species
GACGAACGCUGGCGGCGUGCUUAACACAUGCAAGUCGAACGAUGAUCCCCCGCUUGCGGGGGUUUUCGGUGGGGAAGGGGUGGGUAAUAGGUGAGUACAUUGCACUUUACUUUGGGAUAGGCCUGGAAAACGGGGAAUAUUACUGAAUACUACUUACUGCCUACGGGUGGGGGGUGGAAAGGGUUUUACUGGUUUUGGGUGGGCUAACGGCCUAACGGCUUGUUGGUGGAGUAAUGGGUCACCAAGGCGACGAGGGGUAGCCGGCCAGAGUGGGUGACCGGCCGCCCUGAGUCCUAGGGGCGGCCGAGGCGCCGACGGGUGGAAGCAGGGGGGAAGAUUGCACAAGGGGCGGAGGCCUGAUGCAGCGACGCCGCGUGUGGGAUGACGGCCUUGGUGUUGUAGACCACUUUCAGCAGAGAAGAAGCCUCAAGUGACGGUACCUGCAGAAGAAGCGCCGGCUAACUACGUG